GGUCGGCGAUCGUUCACCCCAUGGCUGCCGACGUGGCACGGCGCAUCCUCCGGAAGGUGACACCUGAUCGGAAAAAAAUUUGGUGGGCGAGGGGCUCACGCCCACCUCCCUGCACUCCGCCUCCCGAUGGCGAACACAUGAGCAGUCCACGGAUCGGACGGCGACACGCGCUCGGCUCCCCAUCGCACAUGGUUGCGCUCGGCUCCACUUCACACCGCGUCGGCUCGCCAUCGCCCAUCGCGCUCGGCUCUUCUCCUCCAGACUCGAUUCCUUUUAUCGUUCUCCCGAUUCGAUUCGGGGUGGAAAGCGCAUCCCCUCCGUCAUCCAACAGAAGCGCCGCCAUGCUACCCCUCCCCCACCUGCCAUCGAACAGAAGCGCCGCCGCGCUUCACUCCCCCACCCGUCGAUGCGGCCGCGCCUCAUCCCUUCUCCUGCGGUGUUCCCCUGCCAAGGACGCUAUCGGCAACGGUGGAGAUGAUACAUGAUGCUGAGGGUGGAAAUUUGACUGUGGAUGAAGUCUGUCAACAAAAUAGAUGAUAAUGUGGUAUCUACUGUACGGAUGGGUGGUGAGGGUGGAAUUUUGUUUGCAGAUGAAGUCAUAUUUACUGGGUAUUGUCAGCAAACCAGUGAUGAAUGUAUUUACUGGGCAUUGUUUAGAAUUGCCUUGAUUGAUGAGAGUACUCUGUUGUAUGGUCUUUGAAGCUUGGAUCCAAAUUCAGAUCCUUUUGUAAUAUGUAUAUUUUUUUUUAUA